rnacentral:rRNA from 1 species
UACGUAGGGGGCGAGCGUUGUCCGAAGUUACUGGGCGUAAAGCGCGCGUAGGCGGUUAUUUAAGUCUGGGGUGAAAGGUUCAGCGCUCAACGCGAACAUUGCCUUGGAAACUGGGUGACUUGAGUUUGGGAGGGGGUAGCGGAAUUCCUGGUGUAGCGGUGAAAUGCGUAGAUAUCAGGAGGAACACCGAUGGCGAAGGCAGCUACCUGGCCUAAAACUGACGCUGAGGUGCGAAAGCGUGGGGAGCGAACGGG